rnacentral:rRNA from 1 species
GACGGAAGGUGCAAGCGUUGCUCGGAAUCACUGGGCGUAAAGAGCGCGCAGGCGGUCGUUCAAGUCGCGUGUGAAAGCCCCCGGCUCAACUGGGGAGGGUCACGCGAUACUGAUCGACUCGAAGGCAGGAGAGGGUAGUGGAAUUCCCGGUGUAGUGGUGAAAUGCGUAGAUAUCGGGAGGAACACCAGUGGCGAAGGCGACUACCUGGCCUGUUCUUGACGCUGAGGCGCGAAAGCUAGGG